UAUUUAAACAACGGCCUAUCUACACGUCUAUCGGAUACCUAGUCUCGCGUUGGUUCGCUGAUAAAUCUCUUUCUCUCCGCUCUUCGUGGUGUGUCGGUAUACCUUUUUUUUUUUCCUCGUCUGCGAAACGGCUACAAAAGGGGUGUGUAUCCGCGAGCAGGAGAACGCUUGUUAGUAACUUGGGUGAAAUAAGCUAUGUCUGACAACAGACGAUCCUUUUCUACUUGAGCCUAGUUACUUUCUAUUUUGUGUCUCUUUAUAUUAUACGAAAUUCAAUACCAGUUAAGUCAUCUCGAUGCAAAUCUUACGUAACACAAGUUGGGUUUUCUUCAAUGUAGCAACAUAGAAAAUUAAUGGAAAUAUUUUUGACUGUAUAAUUGAACAAAUUCAAUCAUUCGAUCUUCAUAUAAAUUUACGAAAUGCGUGUUAAUAAUGCAGAUACCUCAUAUAAAUAAAAUUAUAAGUUAGGUUUGGUCCUCUGAAUUAUAAGCGACAAAGGAGUUUGGCACGACUUGUAAAAGGCGACUUAACGUCUCACGGUCACCGGUUGAACGAGGAUAAAAGCUGUAUCACGAAUAAAUCCGGCGGCCGUACGUCUUCUCGAAGAUUAGAUCGCCAUAUCCGGCGUGACUCGAUGCGAUGCGCUGCACCGCUGGAUUUUCGAUAAUAAAACGACAGGAUCGCGAUCGUUAAUCUCGUAAAAGGAAGCGGUUACCGUUAGAUGCGUCCACCGAAGUGCAUCGUUUCUUUUCUAUCGGCCGAGUCGAGUGUCGUUUCUACGCCCGUGACACUUUUCACUCCAAGUACUCUUUUCGUCGUUGUACGUACACUUCCUGUUCGCCGUACAUGAAUCGUCAAUGGGCCUUUAGCAGAGAAUAUUUACAUGCAUUCCAUGAAUUUUUACAUGCAAUUGUGAUUAGUGCUUGGUUGAAAAGUACAGUCAACCGCGAAAAUAUAUCUUAUAGAUGAAAAUUUUUAAUUAUUUAUAAUUUUGUAAUUUUUUUAUAAGCAAUUUAUUUUUCGAAAAAUCUCUUUGAGAAAUCGAUUAAAUUUUUUUAUUUAGAAAUAUUUGUUCUCUAUUUUUCAAGUACAGGAUAAUGGAGCACUUAAAAUAGAAGUUUUGGAGUUUAAUUUUUUUUCUGUUCACUAUUUAAAAAAAUAGAAA